rnacentral:rRNA from 1 species
GACGAACGCUGGCGGCAUGCCUAAUACAUGCAAGUCGAACGCGACCAUCCGGUGCUUGCACUGGUGAAGUCGAGUGGCGAACGGGUGAGUAACACGUGAGAAACCUACCCUGGAGUGGGGAAUAACUCGAAGAAAUUCGAGCUAAUACCGCAUACCUUCUUACCGCCGAAUGGUGGUUUGAAGAAAGAUUUAUCGCUCUGGGAGGGUCUCGCGGCCUAUCAGCUAGUUGGUGAGGUAACGGCUCACCAAGGCAUCGACGGGUAGCUGGUCUGAGAGGACGAUCAGCCACACUGGAACUGAGACACGGUCCAGGCUCCUACGGGAGGCAGCAGUAGGGAAUCUUGCGCAAUGGGCGAAAGCCUGACGCAGCAAUGCCGCGUGCGGGACGAAGGCCCUAGGGUCGUAAACCGCUUUCAGUAGGGACGAAAAUGACGGUACCUGCAGAAGAAGCUCCGGCCAACUACGUGCCAGCAGCCGCGGUAAU